rnacentral:rRNA from 1 species
GAUGAACGCUGGCGGCGUGCCUAAUACAUGCAAGUCGAGCGAACGGACGAGAAGCUUGCUUCUCUGAUGUUAGCGGCGGACGGGUGAGUAACACGUGGAUAACCUACCUAUAAGACUGGGAUAACUUCGGGAAACCGGAGCUAAUACCGGAUGAUAUUUUGAACCGCAUGGUUCAAAGGUGAAAGACGGUCUUGCUGUCACUUAUAGAUGGAUCCGCGCUGCAUUAGCUAGUUGGUAAGGUAACGGCUUACCAAGGCAACGAUGCAUAGCCGACCUGAGAGGGUGAUCGGCCACACUGGAACUGAGACACGGUCCAGACUCCUACGGGAGGCAGCAGUAGGGAAUCUUCCGCAAUGGGCGAAAGCCUGACGGAGCAACGCCGCGUGAGUGAUGAAGGUCUUCGGAUCGUAAAACUCUGUUAUUAGGGAAGAACAUAUGUGUAAGUAACUGUGCACAUCUUGACGGUACCUAAUCAGAAAGCCACGGCUAACUACGUG